GAGACAUUACAAAAACCGCAGCCAAAUAACACUAGACCCUACUCAUAGCAUUGUGUUCCUGUCGGUGAUUAAGGUUGCCAGAGCCCAACGAGGGUGCGGAGUGUUAGGGUCGGUAACGCCCAUGUUACACCUCUGGAGUUGCAGGCGUCCAUAGGCUACGGAGACUGCUUACCAUCAGGCGGGCCGUAUGCUUGUAUA